CUUUUGCUGGACUUUUGCAACAAUUGGUAAAUCUUACUUUUGAUCGGGUUUUCUGCAUAAAUACUCCCAUGUGCACAACAUAAAAUAGUCAUGUUAAU